GAUGAACGCUGGCGGCGUGCCUAAUACAUGCAAGUCGAGCGAACAGAUGAGGAGCUUGCUCCUCUGACGUUAGCGGCGGACGGGUGAGUAACACGUGGAUAACCUACCUAUAAGACUGGGAUAACUUCGGGAAACCGGAGCUAAUACCGGAUAAUAUAUUGAACCGCAUGGUUCAAUAGUGAAAGACGGUUUUGCUGUCACUUAUAGAUGGAUCCGCGCCGCAUUAGCUAGUUGGUAAGGUAACGGCUUACCAAGGCAACGAUGCGUAGCCGACCUGAGAGGGGGGGCGGCCACACGGGAACUGCGACCGGGCCCAGCCCCCGCCGGGAGGCACGAGUGGGGAAUCUUCCGCAAGGGGCGAAGGCCGGACGGAGCACCCCCGCGGGAGGGAUAAGGGUCUUGGGAUCGAAAAACUCUUUUAUGAGGAAAAAAAAAAUUUGAAAGUAAUUAUGCGCUUCUGGAGGGACCUUAAUAAGAAGCCCACGCCUAACUCCGGC
rnacentral:rRNA from 1 species